UCUCCGUUGGUGAACCAGCGGAGGGAUCAUUACCGAGUUUACAACUCCCAAACCCAAUGUGAACCAUACCAAACUGUUGCCUCGGCUGGGUCACGCCCCGGGUGCGUCGCAGCCCCGGAACCAGGCGCCCGCCGGAGGGACCAACCAAACUCUUUCUGUAGUCCCCUCGCGGACGUUAUUUUUACAGCUCUGAGCAAAAAUUCAAAAUGAAUCAAAACUUUCAACAACGGAUCUCUUGGUUCUG
rnacentral:misc_RNA from 1 species